CCUACGGGUGGCAGCAGUGGGGAAUAUUGCACAAUGGGGGAAACCCUGAUGCAGCGACGCCGCGUGAGUGAAGAAGUAAUUCGUUACGUAAAGCUCUAUCAGCAGGGAAGAAAAUGACGGUACCUGAGUACGAAGCCCCGGCUAACUACGUGCCAGCAGCCGCGGUCAUACGUAGGGGGACAGCGUUAGCCGGAUUUACUGGGUGUAAAGGGAGAGUAGACGGGGCGCCAAGUCUGGAGUGAAAUGCCGCAGCUUAACUGCGGAACUGCUUUGGAAACUGGCGAACUAGAGUGCGGGAGGGGUAAGCGGAAUUCGUGGUGUAGCGGUGAAAUGCGUAGAUAUUAGGAGGAACACCGGUGGCGAAGGUGGCUUACUGGACCGUAACUGACGUUGAGGCACGAAAGCGUGGGGAGCAAACAGGAUUAGAUACCCCGGUAGUC
rnacentral:rRNA from 1 species